GGCGGGGUGGCCAAGUGGUAAGGCGAGGGUCUGCAAAACCCUUCAUCGGCGGUUCGAUUCCUCCAGUGCUU
rnacentral:tRNA from 1 species